rnacentral:tRNA from 1 species
GCCUCCGUAGCUCAAGGGUAGAGCACCCGCCUUGUAAGCGGUCGAUUCCGGUUCGAGUCCGGAGGGGGGCU